rnacentral:rRNA from 1 species
UACGUAGGAUGCAAGCGUUGUCCGGAAUUAUUGGGCGUAAAGCGCACGUAGGCGGAUUUGUAAGUCAGGGGUGAAAUCCCGGGGCUCAACCUCGGAACUGCCUUUGAUACUGCAAAUCUCGAGUCCGGAAGAGGUGAGUGGAAUUCCUAGUGUAGAGGUGAAAUUCGUAGAUAUUAGGAAGAACACCAGUGGCGAAGGCGGCUCACUGGUCCGGUACUGACGCUGAGGUGCGAAAGCGUGGGGAGCAAACAGG